rnacentral:SRP_RNA from 1 species
GCUGGGUGUGGUGGCGGGCGCCUGUAGUCCUAGCUACUCGGAGGCUGAGGCAGGAGAUUCGCUUGAACCCAGGAGGCAGAGGUUGCAGUGAGCUGAGAUUGCUGCACUUUAGCCUGGGUGACAGAGUGAGACUCUGCCUCAA